rnacentral:lncRNA from 1 species
GCCGGCCUUCCUCUUUGGUGGACUGUGGAUCUACUCUGACAUAAUUGGCGCAACGGUAUGUGUGCAUGCACUCGUUUUGUUUGUUGCAGUGCCUGGUUUGAGGUAUUUCUGCUCUUAAGCAAGCUUGGUGAUAAUGGCAGGGAGGGCCGCAGAGCCCUGGGCCCGGUGGCAAUUUUGUGGGACAUACAGCGCAUCUUGGCGGCGCACUAGUGGGAGCUUUGACCUACUUCGCCUACAGAAGGGGGAAACUGCGAUUUUGAGACAAUGGAUCUGUCUGAUUGCAUAAAAAAUGUGCACGAGUGCUUAGGGCCAACGCUUGUAAGCAAUUCAAAUUUCUUGCUCUGCAUGUAUGUCGGCAAGUUGGCGUUAUCGUGUCAUUAUUUGCAUGCCAAAUGUGGGAAAUCCUGAAGCACGCUUGACUCAAGGGUGCGUGAUGCGCAUAAAAGUGUGCAAUUGUUGCAUUGAGCACACUUUCACUCUGUUUUGGGAAGCGUACUAAAAUUUAUACUUGGGCAGACUUCAAGUUGAGUUGAUUCCUCGCAAUUGUCUGCUGCAAACGCUGUUCUAAACUGUGCAUCAGGCCUUUCCAACAUCUGAAGAUAGCAAUAUCUAGAUCAUUCAACUUCAAGAACAACUCGGGGGGUGCUCAUUUUCUGUUGAUGUUCCCGGGCCAGUAUUAUCAUUUUGGUCUAGCUUGUUUAUAUAAAAAG